UCGCGUCAAGGGCAAGCUCCCCGAAAGGGGAUGCGCGCAAAGCCAUGGGUCUGCCGUUUGGCGGUUCGUCAAACAAUGAUUGCCAGGCUGCCGAG
rnacentral:ncRNA from 1 species